rnacentral:lncRNA from 1 species
CUGUGGUAGCUCAGCGCGCACCCUCUGGAGCUCUCUGUGUUCUCCUGGCUUGGUGUAUGGACGCAGUGACAUGGAGUGGCCCCUGCUUUAGGGGUGGAGAUGAAGAAAGCCAGGGUGCAGCGAGAUUGUACUGAGCAGCAGGGCCUGAAGAAGAUCUCUGCCUACAUGAAGAGCAGCCACUACCUCUCAACACCUAUAUUUUCGAAGUUGGCCCAAUGGAGUAACAAGUAGGCCCUUGCUACACUGGCACUCACAGGGAGGACCUAUCCACAUUGGAUCCUGCAGGCACCCUGGCCUUCUGCACUGUGGUUCUCUCUCCUUCCUGCUCCCUUCUCCAGCUUUGUCAGCCCCAUCUCCUCAACCUCACCCCAGUCAUGCCCACAUAGUCUUCAUUCUCCCCACUUUCUUUCAUAGUGGUCCCCUUCUUUAUUGACACCUUAACACAACCUCACAGUCCUUUUCUGUGAUUUGAGGUCUGCCCUGAACUCAGUCUCCCUAGACUUACCCCAAAUGUAACACUGUCUCAGUGCCAGCCUGUUCCUGGUGGGGGAGCUGCCCCAGGCCUGUCUCAUCUUUAAUAAAGCCUGAAACAC